rnacentral:lncRNA from 1 species
CUUUCAAACCCCACUGAUUUCACUUAAAAACAUGCACCGUAGCCCAAGUUAUGCUAUUUUCAACUAGAAGGACAGAAACUGAAAUUUCCACCCAGCAUAAAAUAAAACUUCAUACAAAUUAAUCCAACACUUUUAAAUUCUUGUUAACAUGCACUGUCUAAAAAUGGAACAAAAUAAACAUUAAAAAGCAUUUCUAAAAGUUCAUCUAAGUUCCAUGAAAUAUUUACAUAAAUAGAAAUAUUCACUAGAAAUUGAAAGAAUUAGAGAUUGCCGAUCACUUGCCAUUAUGCCAACCAUUGCCAUGCCUCGAUCUUAACCUGUAAAAUUAUUUGUAGGGAUGAGUACUAUAAAUAAUAAUCAGUAGGAAACACUUAAGUAAACGGUAAAAAUAUAUAUUUUCAGAAAUGCAAACUUUGGUCAAUUGUGUCACCGUCAAUUUCAAGCGAAUUGGUGAUCAGUCAGUCCGCUUACUCUUAGGUUUUGAUAACCCCAUUUCAUUUGUCAUAAUCAUCUCUUCAUCUCUUGUUUAAACCACCAAACGGUGAUUCCAUCAUGAGCAACACAAUAACACAUUUAAUGCAAACGAAAAUAUAUAAAUCCUACAUCACCUACUUAAACGCCAAAACACCCCUACCUUAAUGCUUGGAAUUUGAAAUAUCCUUUCGUGUCCAAAGAAUAAAAUGCAGCGUACGUCUUGCCCUUUUCUUUAGAAAUUUUCAGAUUCAAAGUUCUUUUUGUCUAUGGAAGAAGGGGCAAAAUAAUUUGAUGCAUAAGUAUAAUAGGGAGAGAGAGAGAGUGGCUAAAGAAGUUGAGAUUUCAGCUUUGAAAAAUGAACUCACGACUUAAAAUAAAAGAGACGGUUUCAUGGUAGUGCAAAAGUGGAUGUUAAAAUGCACUUAGUGGGUAG